rnacentral:rRNA from 1 species
AGCGAACGCUGGCGGCAGGCCUAACACAUGCAAGUCGAGCGCCGUAGCAAUACGGAGCGGCAGACGGGAGAGUAACACGUGGGAACGUGCCCUUUGGUUCGGAACAACCCAGGGAAACUUGGGCUAAUACCGGAUAAGUCCGUAAGGAGAAAGAUUUAUCGCCGAAGGAUCGGCCCGCGUCUGAUUAGCUAGUUGGUGGGGUAAUGGCCCACCAAGGCGACGAUCAGUAGCUGGUCUGAGAGGAUGAUCAGCCUCACUGGGACUGAGACACGGCCCAGACGCCUACGGGAGGCAGCAGUGGGGAAUAUUGGACAAUGGGCGCAAGCCUGAUCCAGCCAUGCCGCGUGGGUGAUGAAGGCCCUAGGGUUGUAAAGCCCUUUCGGCGGGGAAGAUAAUGACGGUACCCGCAGAAGAAGCCCCGGCUAACUUCGUGCCAGCCGCCGCGGUAAAAC